UUGUUCCCUGGAGUUCCCUCAUACACUUCAUUAGGUAGGGCUUUUUUUUUUUACCUCCCAGGUGCAAAAGCAAAUGCUACUGAAGUGUUUGGGGGAACUCCAGGGUGCUA
rnacentral:pre_miRNA from 1 species